rnacentral:rRNA from 1 species
GAUGAACGCUGGCGGCGUGCCUAAUACAUGCAAGUCGAGCGAAGCGGGGACGGGUGAGUAACACGUGGAUAACCUCCUUUAUGACUGGGAUAACUUCGGGAAACCGGAGCUAAACCGGAUACUUAUCGUUGGAUCUGCGCUGCAUUAGCUAGUUGGUAAGGUAACGGCUACCCAAGGCAACGAUGCAUAGCCGACCUGAGAGGGUGAUCGGCCACACUGGAACUGAGACACGGUCCAGACUCCUACGGGAGGCAGCAGUAGGGAAUCUUCCGCAAUGGGCGAAAGCCUGACGGAGCAACGCCGCGUGAGUGAUGAAGGUCUUCGGAUCGUAAAACUCUGUUAUUAGGGAAGCGGUACCUAAACAGAAAGCCACGGCUAACUACGUGCCAGCAGCCGCGGUAAUUC